rnacentral:rRNA from 1 species
UAGGGAAUAUUGCGCAAUGGACGAAAGUCUGACGCAGCCACGCCGCGUGAGUGAGGAAGGCCUUCGGGUUGUAAAGCUCUGUCGCCUGGGAAAAACGGCUAUUGGGGGAAAGUUCCAGUAGCGUGAUGGUACCAGGAGAGGAAGCACCGGCAAACUCUGUGCCAGCAGCCGCGGUAAUACAGAGGGUGCAAGCGUUGUUCGGAAUUACUGGGCGUAAAGCGUGCGUAGUCGGUAUUGAGAGUCGCGGGUGAAAUCCCAGGGCUUAACCCUGGAACUGCCUGCGAGACCUCAGUACUAGAGUGUGAGAGGGGAUAGUGGAAUACCCAGUGUAGCGGUGAAAUGCGUAGAGAUUGGGUGGAACACCGGUGGCGAAGGCGGCUAUCUGGCUCACAACUGACGAUCAGGCACGAAAGCGUGGGGAGCAAACAGGAUUAGAUACCCCUGUAGUCCCUGAGCGGGCUGGCAAGGCGCAU